rnacentral:rRNA from 1 species
AGGCAGCAGUUAGGAAUAUUGGACAAUGGGCGAAAGCCUGAUCCAGCAAUGCCGCGUGAGUGAUGAAGGCCUUAGGGUUGUAAAGCUCUUUUACCCGAGAUGAUAAUGACAGUAUCGGGAGAAUAAGCUCCGGCUAACUCCGUGCCAGCAGCCGCGGUAAUACGGAGGGAGCUAGCGUUGUUCGGAAUUACUGGGCGUAAAGCGCACGUAGGCGGCGAUUUAAGUUAGAGGUGAAAGCCCGGGGCUCAACCCCGGAACUGCCUUUGAGACUGGAUUGCUAGAAUCUUGGAGAGGCGAGUGGAAUUCCGAGUGUAGAGGUGAAAUUCGUAGAUAUUCGGAAGAACACCAGUGGCGAAGGCGGCUCGCUGGACAAGUAUUGACGCUGAGGUGCGAAAGCGUGGGGAGCAAACAGGAUUAGAUACCCUAGUAGUCC